AAGGAUUUUCAAAGUUGGGGGGGGGGGGGGGGGGGGGGGGAAGCGAAAAAGUUCAUUUCAUCUCUUUCACGAGUUUUCGGCGACUCCUUUGGCGAUUCAGGUUGCGACGAAGCUCUCUGAGACCAAGUUCCAUUGAUUUCUCCACAGUCUCUCCGUUCUCCAUUCAUCUCUCUGGUCGUCUCUCGUCUCCACUUCUCCUCCGUCCGUUCUCCACUUCUCCUCUGUUCUCCACUUCUCGGAGAAGUCUUCUCCUCCGUCCGUUCUCCACUUCUCUUACGACAACUACAGGACGUCUCUAAGAAGCUAGUUGGAGCAUUGUAUUAUUAUAAGGACGUCUUUGUGUUGUAGUCUGGAAAGAACAGCCUCGGUGAUGAACUGUACAAACUGUUGGCCGUGGAAUCCAACACAGUAGAUGAUAUUAUCACAUCUCUCAAGCUGGGGACCGAACAUAGUGCACUGUAGACAGUUAACAAGUUAGAAACUGCUAUAUUCUCAUGGAAAGAAAGGCUUACAGAGCAAGCCAGCAACAGUAAAUCACCUGUCAGGAUACCGUGGUCAUUCACUAGAGAUCCAUUGUAUGAAAGUGAGUCACUCUUGAACCGAGCAGAAGCGCUUAGAAAUCAGAUCAAAUCCAAAUACCCUAAUCGUCCUAACUCGUUUCUUUAUGCCACAAAGAUUCAGUAUGGCAAGGACAUUGGUCAUGCGGUUCUUGAGGCAUAUUCAAGAACAAUUGCGAAUUUGGCGUACAGAAUACUCUCAAGAAUGGGAGAAAUAUUGAAGAAGAUGCUGCAAGUAACCCUAACUCUCCAGCGCCACCGAGUUUUUUCCAUAGCUCCCGAGAUCUUUAUAGAACACCUGAGAGGCCUUUGCUUUCGUCUCGUGUAAGACAUUCUCUCACAGAUGACUUGAACAAAGCCGAUGGGAGAGAGACCGGUUUAGUUUUUUUGUAUGGAGAUGCUAAGGUCACUACAACUCCAAGUAGAAGCAGUAGAUUAUGGUAUACUAGGAUCAGCCCACCCCACGGGCGUGAUAUACUUUAGUUGUGAUCUAAGUUAUUAUUUUUUUGUAUGACUUUGUGGUUUAUGUUUUAGGUUUGUAUUUGCAAGAGAUAUGUAUGAUACUGAUUUUUGUCUUUUGAAAAGUUUUAGCUGAGGAGGAAUUAUAUAUGAUAAAAUAUAUUUCGCUUA